rnacentral:lncRNA from 1 species
GUUUGUUGUCCUUUCAACUUCCGUAUCAGCUUUUAACAUCAAUCAGCAAAUUCAUCCUUUUCCAGAUGAAUAAUGAUCUCCCGCUGACUGGCAUGUCUGUCUGAAGAACAAGAAAUGUGAUGAAGCUGACCCUGUGGCACCUCUUUUCUCUAGAGCACAUAUCAUGGAUAUUCAGGGAAU